UAGAGUUUGAUCCUGGCUCAGAUUGAACGCUGGCGGCAUGCUUUACACAUGCAAGUCGAACGGUAACAGGCCGCAAGGUGCUGACGAGUGGCGAACGGGUGAGUAAUGCAUCGGAACGUGCCCAGUCGUGGGGGAUAACGCAGCGAAAGCUGCGCUAAUACCGCAUACGAUCUGCGGAUGAAAGCGGGGGACCUUCGGGCCUCGCGCGAUUGGAGCGGCCGAUGUCAGAUUAGGUAGUUGGUGGGGUAAAGGCUCACCAAGCCGACGAUCUGUAGCUGGUCUGAGAGGACGACCAGCCACACUGGGACUGAGACACGGCCCAGACUCCUACGGGAGGCAGCAGUGGGGAAUUUUGGACAAUGGGGGCAACCCUGAUCCAGCAAUGCCGCGUGCAGGAAGAAGGCCUUCGGGUUGUAAACUGCUUUUGUACGGAACGAAAAGGCUCUGGUUAAUACCUGGGGCACAUGACGGUACCGUAAGAAUAAGCACCGGCUAACUACGUGCCAGCAGCCGCGGUAAU
rnacentral:rRNA from 1 species